UACGGAGGGUGCGAGCGUUAUCCGGAAUUACUGGGUUUAAAGGGUGCGUAGGUGGGUUGGUAAGUCAGUGGUGAAAUCUCCGAGCUUAACUUGGAAACUGCCAUUGAUACUAUCAGUCUUGAAUAUUGUGGAGGUUAGCGGAAUAUGUCAUGUAGCGGUGAAAUGCUUAGAUAUGACAUAGAACACCAAUUGCGAAGGCAGCUGGCUACGCAUAUAUUGACACUGAGGCACGAAAGCGUGGGGAUCAAACAGG
rnacentral:rRNA from 1 species